CCUACGGGUGGCAGCAGUGAGGAAUAUUGGUCAAUGGACGAGAGUCUGAACCAGCCAAGUAGCGUGAAGGAUGACUGCCCUAUGGGUUGUAAACUUCUUUUAUAAAGGAAUAAAACGAGGCACGUGUGCCCUUUUGUAUGUACUUUAUGAAUAAGGAUCGGCUAACUCCGUGCCAGCAGCCGCGGUAAUACGGAGGAUCCGAGCGUUAUCCGGAUUUAUUGGGUUUAAAGGGAGCGUAGAUGGGUUGUUAAGUCAGUUGUGAAAGUUUGCGGCUCAACCGUAAAAUUGCAAUUGAUACUGGCAGUCUUGAGUACAGUAGAGGUAAGCGGAAUUCGUGGUGUAGCGGUGAAAUGCUUAGAUAUCACGAAGAACCCCGAUUGCGAAGGCAGCUUACUAAACUGUAACUGACAUUGAUGCUCGAAAGUGUGGGUAUCAAACAGGAUUAGAUACCCUUGUAGUC
rnacentral:rRNA from 1 species